AACAGAACGAAGCACCAAGAGGACUGCUCCCCACUGCACGGCUCUCUCACAAGUCUCCAUGGGAUGUGUGUGCAGAGAACUGUUUUACUGAAGAGGGAAGUACUCUUUAGAGAGGAAACCUACAAAAGUUGCACUGCCUUUCAAAUUGAAGCCCAUUUCCUCAGGACAGAUAAAAAUCAUGGUGAAUUAAAUAUCCACCACAUGGAAACACUCCAGAUUCUUGAAGCUCUGACUUUCCCGCUAUUACCUGUCAAUUGCUCGUCAGGAUCAGAAACAAACCGCUCUAGAAGCCACCAACUCUAUCUGUAGCUGCAGUGACAUUUUUACACAAGGAAAGAUGUAUGCUGCCCAUCUGUCAUGUAAGGACAUAAUGUAGCUAAACCAUCUACCCUGUCUCGUACCACAUGGGGAGUGAUGAAGACACAAAGGGCUGGGUUCGGCUUCUCCUCGGAGAAUGGGUGGCGAGAGAUACUUAUUUGUAUGCUGUGCUCUCAAGAAAAUGACCAUCAGAAAGCAUGAUGCUCUAUGUAGCAUAGGCCUGCCUUCAGAAAUUCAGCUGUGGCAAAGGAAACCGGCCUGAAGGAUCAGAGCUCAGAGUUACGGUCAACCACGCUAAACCAUGCCCCUCAGCUCUGCCGGGGAGAGCAUUCUUUCAGCGUGCUCUUGGGCGUGCCGGCCACAGCAAACUGCCAACCUGCCCCGGGGAAGUGAGUAUUUGAAUAUUUGGUUUUCUAGUGGCUUCUCUUUCCAAUAACACCCUGGGCAUGG